rnacentral:rRNA from 1 species
CCCCUAGACGUCCUCGGCCGCACGUGUUCUACAAUGACACAGGCAACGAGUAUGUCCUGCUCCGACAGGAGUCGGGUAAUCUUUAUAGUUUGUGUCGUGCUUAGGAUUGUCUUUUGUAAUUAUAGGACAUGAAUUAGGAAUUCCUAGUAUAGGUACGUCAUCAUCGUACCUAGAUUAAGUCCCUGCCCUUUGUACACACCGCCCGUCGCUCCUACCGAUUGAGAGAUUCAGUGAACCUCCUGGAGCGGUUAGGAUCUUUAAGGUUCUUUCUGCAAAGUUAAGUAAACUAUUAUCUCUUAGAGGAAGGAGAAGUCGUAACA